AGAGUUUGAUCAUGGCUCAGAACGAACGCUGGCGGCGUGGAUAAGACAUGCAAGUCGGACGAGAUUUUUCGUUGUAGCAAUACGAUGGAAAGUCUAGUGGCGAACGGGUGCUUAACACGUGGGCAACCUGCCGAGAAGUGGGGGAUAGCUCGCCGAAAGGCGAAUUAAUACCGCAUGUGAUUAGAGUGGACAUCCAUUCGAGAUUAAAGUCGGGGCAACCUGACGCUUCUUGUGGGGCCCGCGGCCUAUCAGCUAGUUGGUGAGGUAAUGGCUCACCAAGGCUUUGACGGGUAGCUGGUCUGAGAGGACGACCAGCCACACUGGGACUGAGACACGGCCCAGACACCUACGGGUGGCAGCAGUCGAGAAUUUUUCUCAAUGGGGGAAACCCUGAAGGAGCGACGCCGCGUGGAGGAUGAAGGUCUUCGGAUUGUAAACUCCUGUCAUUGGGGAACAAGGUGCAUACGUUAACUGCGUGUGCAUUGAUAGUACCCGAAGAGGAAGAGACGGCUAACUCUGUGCCAGCAGCCGCGGUAAUACAGAGGUCUCAAGCGUUGUUCGGAUUCAUUGGGCGUAAAGGGUGCGUAGGCGGCGCGGUAAGUCGGGUGUGAAAUCUCGGAGCUUAACUCCGAAACUGCAUUCGAUACUGCCGUGCUUGAGGACUGGAGAGGAGACUGGAAUUUACGGUGUAGCGGUGAAAUGCGUAGAUAUCGUAAGGAAGACCAGUGGCGAAGGCGGGUCUCUGGACAGUUCCUGACGCUGAGGCACGAAGGUCAGGGGAGCAAACGGGAUUAGAUACCCCGGUAGUCC
rnacentral:rRNA from 1 species